rnacentral:rRNA from 1 species
UUGGAGAAUUUGAUCCUGGCUCAGAACGAACGCUGGCGGCAGGCUUAACACAUGCAAGUCGAGCGCCCCGCAAGGGGAGCGGCAGACGGGUGAGUAACGCGUGGGAACGUACCAUUUGCUACGGAAUAACUCAGGGAAACUUGUGCUAAUACCGUAUGUGCCCUUCGGGGGAAAGAUUUAUCGGCAAAUGAUCGGCCCGCGUUGGAUUAGCUAGUUGGUGGGGUAAAGGCUCACCAAGGCGACGAUCCAUAGCUGGUCUGAGAGGAUGAUCAGCCACACUGGGACUGAGACACGGCCCAGACUCCUACGGGAGGCAGCAGUGGGGAAUAUUGGACAAUGGGCGCAAGCCUGAUCCAGCCAUGCCGCGUGAGUGAUGAAGGCCCUAGGGUUGUAAAGCUCUUUCACCGGGAAGAUAAUGACGGUAACCGGAGAAGAAGCCGGCWYCU